AUGAUCCGCCACACUGGAACUGAGACACGGUCCAGACUCCUACGGGAGGCAGCAGUGGGGAAUUUUGGACAAUGGGGGCAACCCUGAUCCAGCCAUUCCGCGUGAGUGAAGAAGGCCUUCGGGUUGUAAAGCUCUUUCAGCUGGAAAGAAACGGUACGCACUAACAUUGCGUGCUAAUGACGGUACCAGCAGAAGAAGCACCGGCUAACUACGUGCCAGCAGCCGCGGUAAUACGUAGGGUGCGAGCGUUAAUCGGAAUUACUGGGCGUAAAGCGUGCGCAGGCGGAUUGUUAAGCAAGAUGUGAAAUCCCCGGGCUUAACCUGGGAAUGGCAUUUUGAACUGGCAGUCUAGAGUGCGUCAGAGGGGGGUGGAAUUCCACGUGUAGCAGUGAAAUGCGUAGAUAUGUGGAGGAACACCAAUGGCGAAGGCAGCCCCCUGGGAUGACACUGACGCUCAUGUACGAAAGCGUGGGUAGCAAACAGGAUUAGAUACCCUGGUAGUCCACGCCCUAAACGAUGUCAACUGGUUGUUGGGGGAGUGAAAUCCCUUAGUAACGAAGCUAACGCGUGAAGUUGACCGCCUGGGGAGUACGGUCGCAAGAUUAAAACUCAAAUGAAUUGACGGGGGCAAGGGCGAAUUCUGCAGAUAUCCAUCACACUGGCGGCCGCUCG
rnacentral:rRNA from 1 species